rnacentral:lncRNA from 1 species
ACCGGUCUGGGGGGCUCUGCAUUUUAAUUUAAUUUUAAAUGAAGUUUCUUGAACAUUUUAAAAACCUUAUUUACUUUACAUACAAUAAUAGUUUAGUUCUAUAUUAUAGACUUAUAGAAAGAGACCUUCUAAAAACGUUAACAUGUAUGACUGGCACAUGAAACCUUAAAUCAGAGUGAAUAAAUGAAGAUUCGGCACCCCACUUCUGAAAGGCUGCCGACCCCUGAACUAGAGCUUCUCACUGAAGCAGUUGUAAGACAUCUGUAACAUGGAUGAUGGAUUUCCCCAUAACCUCAUUCUCAGAAAUAACUGAACUGUUUUGGCUGAAAAUUUCCAGAAAAAUUCAGCCGAAAGCAGAUGCUCAGCCUGGGAAAUUUCAGCCAAAACAGCCUAAGUUUGGUCAAGUUACAAGCAAUUGAAAAUUGUCUUAUCGCGGGAAGCAUGAGGCAACCUUGACUACAGGUGGCAAUGAGCCGCUCCAUCUCCCCAUCAGUGUGGUUUGGCAGGAGCUCAAAAUGGGACAAGCCGCCGCUUCUCCAGUACAGGUGACACCCACCUGUACACCCUGCUGCCUAGACCGGACAGGGACAUGGCAGCCCCUGGUGACUAGGAGGUGGCACUGAAUGCCUCCAGCAGGCCCUCAGCCCCAUCUCCUGUGCAUGGGGUGUGAAGUGGGGGCAUAACCAGCUGACUGUACCACAGUCCCUUGCACCCCCUCCCCCAACAAGGGCUGGAAGCCCCCUGGCUGGCACUGUUGAAAGCUGGCCUGGGCAGGGCACACUGCCAGGCUGGGCUAUCCCCAGUGGGUCGGUUCAGUCCCAGGCCGGUGGGAGCGCGUUGCCCUUUUAAGAGGGGACUCUCCAUGCCUCAGUGAACUCAGGCGACUUGGCAUUUCCAUUGUUGCUGCGGCUGGGGCCGGAGCCCGGGGCUGGGCGCUCCUCGCACUCCCUGCGGCAGAGUUUGGAGGGGAAGGAGGCAGGACCCGGCCCAGGCAGGUGGCCGGAGCCGGGAUGGGCGCAGAGAGCAGCCCGGGGCCGGCACAGGAGAGCUGGGUCCCCCUGCUCCUCUGCCUGGCUGGGGGCGCGAGGCAGAGGCAUUGCACUCGUCCCGGCCGGAGUCAGAAGGGAUUUGAGCCACUCAGCAAGGAGAUGAGCGCCCCGUCCUGGAACAGGUUCCUUGGCAAGGGAUUAGUUACCCC